rnacentral:rRNA from 1 species
GACGAACGCUGGCGGCGUGCUUAACACAUGCAAGUCGAACGGAAAGGCCCUGCUUUUGUGGGGUGCUCGAGUGGCGAACGGGUGGGUAACACGUGAGUAACCUGCCCUUGACUUUGGGAUAACUUCAGGAAACUGGGGCUAAUACCGGAUAGGAGCUCCUGCUGCAUGGUGGGGGUUGGAAAGUUUCGGCGGUUGGGGAUGGACUCGCGGCUUAUCAGCUUGUUGGUGGGGUAGUGGCUUACCAAGGCUUUGACGGGUAGCCGGCCUGAGAGGGUGACCGGCCACAUUGGGACUGAGAUACGGCCCAGACUCCUACGGGAGGCAGCAGUGGGGAAUAUUGCACAAUGGGCGGAAGCCUGAUGCAGCAACGCCGCGUGCGGGAUGACGGCCUUCGGGUUGUAAACCGCUUUCGCCUGUGACGAAGCGUGAGUGACGGUAAUGGGUAAAGAAGCACCGGCUAACUACGUGCCAGCAGCCGCGGUGAUACGUAGGGUGCGAGCGUUGUCCGGAUUUAUUGGGCGUAAAGGGCUCGUAGGUGGUUGAUCGCGUCGGAAGUGUAAUCUUGGGGCUUAACCCUGAGCGUGCUUUCGAUACGGGUUGACUUGAGGAAGGUAGGGGAGAAUGGAAUUCCUGGUGGAGCGGUGGAAUGCGCAGAUAUCAGGAGGAACACCAGUGGCGAAGGCGGUUCUCUGGGCCUUUCCUGACGCUGAGGAGCGAAAGCGUGGGGAGCGAACAGGCUUAGAUACCCUGGUAGUCCACGCUGUAAACGGUGGGUACUAGGUGUGGGGUCCAUUCCACGGGUUCCGUGCCGUAGCUAACGCUUUAAGUACCCCGCCUGGGGAGUACGGCCGCAAGGCUAAAACUCAAAGGAAUUGGCGGGGCCCCGCACAAGCGGCGGAGCAUGCGGAUUAAUUCGAUGCAACGCGUAGAACCUUACCUGGGUUUGACAUGGAUCGGGAGUGCUCAGAGAUGGGUGUGCCUCUUUUGGGGCCGGUUCACAGGUGGUGCAUGCCUGUCGUCAGCUCGUGUCGUGAGAUGUUGGGUUAAGUCCCGCAACGAGCGCAACCCUUGUUCACUGUUGCCAGCACGUUAUGGUGGGGACUCAGUGGAGACCGCCGGGGUCAACUCGGAGGAAGGUGGGGAUGACGUCAAAUCAUCAUGCCCCUUAUGUCCAGGGCUUCACGCAUGCUACAAUGGCUGGUACAGAGAGUGGCGAGCCUGUGAGGGUGAGCGAAUCUCGGAAAGCCGGUCUCAGUUCGGAUUGGGGUCUGCAACUCGACCUCAUGAAGUCGGAGUCGCUAGUAAUCGCAGAUCAGCAACGCUGCGGUGAAUAAAUUCCCGGG